CUAGUUUGCUUCCCUGGGCACUGUUCAUCUUCAAGCUUGGACAGAAGCCUGAGCCAGCCGUCCUGUGCCUGGAAUCGAAUUCGUUUUUGAGUUUAUCUCUCCAACUAACCCUCGGUUUUUCCGGCUCAAAUCCUCUCGGUUGGAGUCCGAUCUCUUCAAUCCAAGCCUAUAAAUAGCAUCCCCUAGUCGCCCUCUUUCGUUUGCCCCAUCUCCCGAGCUCUCUCGUGCCUCGUAGUGCCGCCGCCGCGCCACCCAAACCGCCGCCGUCGCCGGCCGGCGAACAGCCGCCUCGCGCCGUCGUUUUAGCCGUCGCCGCCGCCUCCUCACGCCGCCGUCGGGUGCGCGUGGAAGAGGGGAAGCUCCGCCGCCCUUCGCCGUCGCCACCGGUCGCCGGAGAGCCGCCGCCGCCGUCCACCGAACCGCCGCCGCCGCACAAGCUCGUCGCCGGUCGCCAUCCGUGGUCGUUCGUCGCAUUGUUUCCGUCGUUCCGGAGGAGAGCGUUUUCGUUGAGGAAGGUUCGGAAGUGUUUGCGGAAGCUCAAGGCAAGUCACCCAGAUCCCAAACAACCCUUUGAACAUGUUGAACCCGUUUAAAGCUAAUGAUUUAUUUCAACUUAUGCAUUAUUUUCGAAUGUCAUCGGGUGAUGAGCCUUUCCCAAUUAAAUAAUGGCCGAACAUGACUUUAUUUUCCUAUGGGUUAUAAUUUGAUUAGCUUGGACCUUAUAUAUUGGAUUGGUUCAGCUAAAUGCCAUAUGUAUGUUUGCUUAGUCAUGCUUAAACAUUAGCUAAUUAAAGGGGAUUAAAUAUAAAUCAUAUUAUAUUAUUAUUAAUUACGGUUAUAUUUAAUGGUAGCUCACGAUGGUUAAUCGUGUUAUGUUAUGUAAAUUAAUUGGUAAUUAAAACUGGAUUAAGGUGGGUUGUGAGCACAUGGUUUUGAAGGUCGUGCUCAUGACAAUUAAGGACCGGUUCGCGAGCUACUGUUGUGAAACAUUUACCGUGCCAACCACAAGCCAGUGUGAGCAACGGCUUUACCUUUUGUAUAGCAUGAUUCAUUACGGGGCACCAGACUGUGAAGCGGCGAGAAGUCCAUGGGGGUCGCUGGGGAGUCCAUUGCCUUUGGUUUUGAGGGGGAGAUUAUGAUCCAGGAACGGUGCACUGUGGUGAGUUGUGUUGUGCGAGGGGUAUUGUCACAGUUCCUUUCCGAGGUACCGUGGUGGUGCUAAGGCGCAUGGUGACAUGUUGUGGGAUUGCGUCUUGUGGGUACAGUGGUACACCUCUGAUCAAAGUAAAACUAUUCGAAUAGCCGUGUCCGCGGUUAUGGGUGAGUUGAGCAAUGUUUUUCGUGAUUAGUCCCACAUUACUCAUUAAUGUUAAUAAUGUGAUAAUUAAUUUGACUCCUGGUUUGGAAUGGAUAAUUCCUGGUUUGGAGGUUUGAUCUGUACGACCGGGGUUGGCUGUUCAGGUUUGGUUGGGCCUGUGCAGCAUUGGGGUGCUGUUCAGUGUCGAUUAAAAUUGAUGAUUAAUUACUCUACUGAUUUACUUCUAAAUGUUUGCUUAAUGCUGCUUUCGCAAAUGAACCUAUAUUAUGCCAUCCUUUGGUAUCCUUGUGCAUUUGCAUAUUUGCUGUGUGGCUUGUUGAGUAUGUCAUAUGCUCAUUCUUGCAAUAAUCAUCAAACCUCAGUUGAAGAAAAAGGAUCCAGAAGGAGAAGAUGUUUGGCUUAUACUCCAGUUGAGCUGCCUGUGGGAGUGGAGCUGAAGCCAUCGCUAGACCGUUAAUUCCGCUGCUAUUUUCCUUUUCUUUUGUAAGUAUGUAACAUUAUUAUUAUGAUGGAUUUGUAUAUUAAAUUGUCAGUUUGUGUACCUCGGCUGAUUCCUGGACGAGGAUUUUAUGCACAAAUUAGUUUGGAAAUUACUAGUGAAUUUCUGGGCGUGACAUAUUUGAUCCAAGUUUUUCACUUGCAUUUAAUUGGGAUCUUUACAUUUGAGUACAUGACACUUGUGAUAUUGGUUAAUACUCAUCCACUUCCUUUUAUAUGCGCGAUUGGUUGAUCAACAUGUAGAGGUUGACAACCAGAUCAUUGAGACCAAUAAUUUCAUUGAGUUGAAUGAGAAACAUUGGUCCCAAGGAUUGAAAAGGUGUUGAUGCUCAAUCGAUAUCAUUACAGCUAAAAUACUAAGAAUGACAGUGGAGAUAUUGAAGAUGCGGAAUACGAAGUGGCUAUUAUGGCAAGACGAUCUUCAAAUGAUUGAUGCUCGGUCGCGAUGGACCAUGUGACAGUGAAGGGCAAGCAAGGGGCUUGGCGCCGAAGAGCCAAAUCCGGUGGUGAAUGGCGAGUGACAGCUUUGUCAUGAUGGACCGUGCGAGACCAUUUGAAGCUACAAGUAACCGCAUCAAUUAUUUGAAGAAUAUAUGGUGAAACGGUUUUGGCGUUGCUGUUCCUUAAGACAAAGGAAUGAAGAUGAAAAGAAGGCAUUCCAAUUGGUAUAAUUCUCUUCCUAUAUAAAUUUGAGUAUAGUAAUAUCGUACUAUCAAGAGGGAUGCAGCGUCGAUGUGUUUGUGUAUGUUUCGGUGCUCAAAGUGACCAAUCAUAGUGCUACCUUGAGAGACACUCAAGCUUUAACAUAUCCUUUGAGUGGUUUUAACUUU